UACGAGGGGAGCAAGCGUUGUUCGGAUUUACUGGGCGUAAAGGGCGCGUAGGCGGGUUGGCAAGUCUGCUGUGAAAGCCCGGAGCUUAACUCCGGAGGGUCGGUGGAUACUGCCAGUCUUGAAGGUGCCAGGGGGAGAUGGAAUUACCGGUGUAGCGGUGAAAUGCGUAGAUAUCGGUAGGAACACCAGUGGCGAAGGCGGUCUCCUGGAGCAUUCUUGACGCUGAGGCGCGAAAGCUGGGGGAGCGAACGGG
rnacentral:rRNA from 1 species